rnacentral:rRNA from 1 species
AUGGAGGUUGCAAUCAAGAACACAUAUCCUGACACGGUGCACCGUUGGUGCAAAUGGCACGUUCUGAAGAAAGCAAAGGAGACACUAGGGCCCUUGUACACGAAGAAGAGCGAUUUUCAAGCUGAAUUCCACAAAGUUGUUAACCAUAUGCUGACUGAGGAGGAAUUUGAAACAGCGUGGGAGGCGCUGCUAGAUAAGUACAGCUUGAGGAGCCAUAGCUACAUGACCCAAAUAUAUGAGACUAGGCGGAAGUGGGAAAAACCUUAUUUCAGAGGAGUGUUCUACGCAAAAAUGAUAAGCACGCAAAGGAGUGAGAGUGCAAACCACAUGUUGAAGUCUUACAUGCCACCAGCAAGCCCAAUGCACGUGUUUGUCAGGAAAUACAUGAAGCUACAGUUUGACCGCGAGGGCGACGAAAGCUACGAGGAAAAGAGGACGAUGAUA